UACAGAGACUGCAAGCGUUAUUCGGAUUCACUGGGCGUAAAGGGUGCGCAGGCGGUUGGGUGUGUCAGAUGUGAAAUCCCGAGGCUUAACCUCGGAACUGCGUCUGAAACUACUCGACUAGAGUACUGGAGAGGGAAACGGAAUUCACGGUGUAGCAGUGAAAUGCGCAGAUAUCGGGAGGAACACCGGUGGCGAAGGCGGUUCUCUGGGCCUGUACUGACGCUGAGGAGCGAAAGCGUGGGGAGCGAACAGG
rnacentral:rRNA from 1 species